rnacentral:rRNA from 1 species
UACGUAGGGUGCAAUCGUUAAUCGGAAUUACUGGGCGUAAAGCGUGCGCAGGCGGCUUUGCAAGACAGAUGUGAAAUCCCCGGGCUUAACCUGGGAACUGCAUUUGUGACUGCAUGGCUGGAGUGCGGCAGAGGGGGAUGGAAUUCCGCGUGUAGCAGUGAAAUGCGUAGAUAUGCGGAGGAACACCGAUGGCGAAGGCAAUCCCCUGGGCCUGCACUGACGCUCAUGCACGAAAGCGUGGGGAGCAAACAGG